rnacentral:rRNA from 1 species
UACGAAGGGGGCUAGCGUUGCUCGGAAUGACUGGGCGUAAAGGGCGCGUAGGCGGAUGGUACAGUCAGAUGUGAAAUUCCUGGGCUUAACCUGGGGGCUGCAUUUGAUACGUAUUGUCUAGAGUGAGGAAGAGGGUCGUGGAAUUCCCAGUGUAGAGGUGAAAUUCGUAGAUAUUGGGAAGAACACCGGUGGCGAAGGCGGCGACCUGGUCCUUACUGACGCUGAGGCGCGAAAGCGUGGGGAGCAAACAGG